ACAUUCACCUGUUUUCCUUUCCUAACAUUCCAGCUACGAAAAUUAUGGGAUUUUGUAUCCCUCUCAACCAAUCAACCGAUCUCUUUUAAGCCAAUUCAUUCCCCAUUAAAACCCUUCCAAAACGCUAGCCUUUACUCUCGAAUCAAUCUUUCUGCACACCUUCUAUACUACCGACAAAUCGCCUCCGCCGACCACUAGUUUAACCUAUCUCACCGGUCCAUUUCACCUACGGUUCGUCUAGUCAGAGUCGCAACAAAACCGCCGAGCACCACCACCACGUUGAUCAGUCGUCGUGGUAGAUUCUGUUAUCACGUUAUACCGACGACAACCCGAAAACUCCGAUUCAUCACCCCGUAACCACUGACUCGUCGUCUACGGUCUCUGGUGUAUCCGCAUUGCAUCGCACCAGUCGCUUGUCCUUCACGACAUAAGGUCACCAUAUUCAAGAGAGAUGCUAGUGUCACAUUAGUCGGAAGCUAAAGUUAUUGCUUUUGCUAAUUAAGGUACG